rnacentral:rRNA from 1 species
UGGGGAAUUUUGGACAAUGGGCGAAAGCCUGAUCCAGCAAUGCCGCGUGUGUGAAGAAGGCCUUCGGGUUGUAAAGCACUUUUGUCCGGAAAGAAAUCCUUGGCUCUAAUACAGUCGGGGGAUGACGGUACCGGAAGAAUAAGCACCGGCUAACUACGUGCCAGCAGCCGCGGUAAUACGUAGGGUGCAAGCGUUAAUCGGAAUUACUGGGCGUAAAAGCGUGCGCAGGCGGUUUGCUAAGACCGAUGUGAAAUCCCCGGGCUCAACCUGGGAACUGCAUUGGUGACUGGGCAGGCUAGAGUAUGGCAGAGGGGGGUAGAAUUCCACGUGUAGCAGUGAAAUGCGUAGAGAUGUGGAGGAAUACCGAUGGCGAAGGCAGCCCCCUGGGCCAAUACUGACGCUCAUGCACGAAAGCGUGGGGAGCAAAACAGGAUUAGAUACCCUGGUAGUCCA